AUUCAUACAUCCCCUAUCUAGCAUUUGUAUAUAUGCACAAAAACAUGAAGUAGUGUUUACUUCAUAUUAAUGAUUGGUUUUCCCGGAUGAUGGGGUUUAGACUCAUAUUGUCUUUCGCCAUUUUGGUACUUUUCUUCACUGCUUAAAUGCUUUAUAAUGUACUUUUUUUCUUUCUGCCAAAACAAUUUAGUGAGGGUGUUUUUUUAAACAAAGAUGUUUUCCUCAUAUUAUUAAAGAGGAUUUUUCUCAGAGAAAUAUUAAAAAGUAAAUUAGUUGAUAUUUAAAUGACUACCUUAGUUGAUGUGCUUUCCACCAAAAGCCUGAACCAUAAGAUGUGUGUACGGUGUAGCAGGCAUAACAACUGCAUCCCGUCUCCCAGCACUAGGAUAGCAAGUCCCCGUCGCCCCACCAAGCAAUUCAAUGGCCACAUGGCUUGAAGAAACAAUUCUCAGAUCCGAAGGUGCUCUUCCCUGAAAAAUUAGGCAUGAAGAGAAGGGAAAUUUAAUGACAUCCAUUAAAAUAACUCAAUGCCCCACAGAUAAAAUGUCAAUCUGGCAAUAAUUCCUCUUCUGGUUGCGGCUCAGCUUCCUUAUGGUGCUCUCACACCCAUAAAACACCAAGCCCAGAUGAAGGCUGCACUGGCUGCUGUUUGACUUGGCAGAUUUAGAGGCAGAGACCACAGUUGCUGGGGUAGCAGCAGACAGAAUUGGCUGGUCAUAGCUGAGUCAAAAGCUAAAGAUCUUGUCUGUAUCCUAGUGAUACAAUUAGACAAGAAUAAUGAAGGAAGGAAGAAAAGUCCCAGGAGAAAAGAGGCUGUAGUUUUGUACAUUCUCCUCAUAAAAUCACAUUUAUUGAUCAUGCAAAGUAGCAAGGGAGAUUCUUAGGCCAUUUCAUGGCAAACUAGGAGACAGAAGAAAGACUGCAGAUCUUAUCAGACUUACAGAGGCAGGUUUCUCCUGAGACAGCUUUACUUUCCAUUGUGGAAAUAUAUCGGCUAAAGGAGUCACUCAUUGGUACCUUAGCAAGAUGAAAGGUCUCAGGUCCAUCACCUACAGUUCUGCUUGGCAAAGCAGAGUUCCCUUUGCUGCCCUCUGUUACGGAUUGAAUUAUGUCCCCUCAAAAAGAUGUGUCAAAGACCUAAGCCCCAGUGCCUGUGAAUGUGACUUCUUUGCAGUUGUCAUAAAGUUAAGAAUAGAACCAUUAAAAUGGGCCUUAAUGUAACAUGACCAAUGUCCUUCUAAGAAGAACAUGUGGACACACACAUAUACACACGCAGGAGAAUACCGUGUGAAGACACAGGUACACAGGGAAGAUAGCAUGUGGGGUCCAGGUGGAGAUUGAAGUGAACAAUCUGUGGCUACUGGAAGAUGAAAAGGCAAGAAAAGAUCCUCUCCUGGAGGCUUCAGAGGAAGCAUGGCCCUGACAACACCUCAACUUUGGACUUCUGGCCUCCAGAACUUUGAGUUGAUAAUUAUUGUUGUUGCUGUUGUCAUGGCAGCACAGUUAUGGGAGCACAUUUUUGAACACAGGCUCCCACCUUCAACUUAUCACUUCCUUACCUUUGCUGGGGUACCUGAUGACUUUAAAGAGACUGUUUCUUUGGAGAAGGUGGAAUACGCUUAAAGGUGAGAGUCAAGUUUUGGCAUUCACACCAGGUAGUAGGCUUUCUCCUAGUUCCAAUCAUGUAGGCUUAUACUUACUAGGGUUUUUGUUGUUGUUGUUGACGUGGCACUAUUGUCUAACAAACCUCAGCUUAUCCUUGAGGACAACCUUAUUGGACUUUUUCCUUUUAUUCAAAGCAAGUUGUGCCGGUGACUGCCAGUGUUCACAGAAUCCUUGUCCUCAUUUUCUUCUAGAGCACACAUUUAGACAACAUCUCCCAGCCUCCCUUGCAGUUAAGUCUGGCUUUGUGAUGAGGUUCUAGAUAGCACAGUUGGAACAGAAGUGAUGUGUGCCACUUCCAUGUCUCAGCCCUGGUCUCCAAAACUUCCCACAGGUGCUAGUCAUACUCUUUACCCUUCUCGCAGAUUGGAAUGGAUACAACCAAACCACCAUAAAAGCCUUAUGUGGAACAUGGCAGACCUCUCUCAAUCAAAAUCCCGAUACGACCACAGGGAAUGACCGCCCUCAUGGGCCAGCUUUGGACUGUCAUGUGAAUGACAAGUAAAGUCUUACUGUGAUUAAGCAUUGUACAGUUUGGAGUCUGCUGGAUAGAGUAUCCAGCAACACCCUAGCCAAUGCAGUAUUUGAUGCCUUAAACUUCACAUGCCUUUAUAUCGUUACACAUUUUACUUCCUAUCUUUUAUAACUGAUUCAGUGUGUUGUACAUGUGUGGAUGGAUAUUCAAUUAAUAUGUGACACAUUGAUUAUCAGCUCAAAUGUGGCAGAUGGAGAUGGAUCCUUCUUGACCUCUCAUUGAUUCUUUUUAGUCAAUUGAAAUUGCAUUAUCCCUGAAUAUUCUUCUUUUCAUAAAUUUGCUAUGUAUUUGAAAUGUCAAAUCUUAAAUCUUCUUUGGCUCACCUUAAUGCUUUCUUUUCAUGUGAACAACAGCUAUGUUCCAAGAGUCAAGAAAUCUCAAUAUGAAUAAAGCCAGGGCAUGGACUCCCCAUGUUUGUCUUGUCCCCUGUCUAUUUUACUUGUUCAGGUUCCUUUUAUCUAGCAGAGGUAGGGAUAUCCAUACCACAGUGAAGCUUCUCAUACUCCAAGUUUCUAGAAAUGAUUGAAAGUUUUUUUUAAAAUCCAAAACAAGAUGGAAAACAAGAAAGCAUCCACUGGCUCUAAAAACUAUGAGAAAUCCUUGAAAGGUAUUAAGGCAGACAUCAAUUGUGUUGAAAUAGAAAACUAAAAAUUUAUGAAAUUGUGGGAAAAGCACAAAAUCACACCUUAAUUAGAGGCGGUGGCAGGAGGGGCCCUGAAAACCUGGGAAGGGACACCAGAAGGGGCUUCCAGCUGCUCCUGCCCAUGCUCCACAGCCUGCCAGCUGCAUACCUUGUUGGGCCAGGUUGUUGUAAGGGGGCUAUCUGGAUGGUGUGAGAGCUUGGGUCUGAAAGCAGGGAAGUGCCUCAGAUGGUUAGAGGGCCCCAGGCUGGAAGGGAUUACGGCACAUCGCCAAGAUGGCACGGCUCACAGCAGAUCGAGGCUUCUCCUGCUCUUGUGGAAACAACCAAGGACCCAGAAGCCCUCCUUCCCUUUCCCAGGAAGCCUACAAAUGAAGGCAACAGGGCUUCUCAUACAGAUGAGAGCCAAAUUCUAACGUGGUGGGCAGACUGAGAACUAACAACCCUGAGAACUGAGGGGAGGACGCCCACCCAGUGAAACACAGAUAACUGAACAACCAGAUGGCAGCCAUGAGAAGUCCACAUGCUGGACCUUCAGAGACGCUGAAGGCGGAUCUCGUGUGAAUAAGAAGUGUGAGAAUUAAAAACUUGCUCACGCAAAUUAAAAGUGCAACAGAUCAGCUAAAUAACAUAAUGGACACAAUUGAAGAAAAAAUUAGCCGACCAGAAGAUUCGGGUGAGGAAUUCUUCCAGAAGGUGACCUGAGAGGAUAAAGACAAAGUAAGAAAGAAAUAUUAAGAAGCAUCAUGAACAGAUUCACAGAUUCUAACAUUCAUCUCCUGUGCCGCUCAGAAGAGGGAAUAGAGGGUACAGAGAAUAAGCGGGAUGAAGAGAAGUAAUAGGGAAGGCUCUAGAGGGGAGGAGAAGGCAGAAAUUUCGAAGGGCUCUCAGAAUUUAUCAGAAAGUACUUUUUAAAAAAUGAUCAAGUAGGCAUAUGUAAUUGAAUUUCAGAAAACCAAGUAUAAAAUAUAAAUCUUUUCAACUUCUAGAAAAAAAGACAAAGCACAAUAAUGUAAAUGCACCAAAUGAACAUUAGAAUUCAGAAACGUAGCAACAUAUAUAAGAAGACAAUAAAAACAUUUUGAAAUCUCUGAGAGAAAUAAGUUGGAUUAGAAUUCCAUACUCAAAAUGUAAUUUCAGUAUUAGGGUUGAAUAUUAAAGUUUUCUGAUCUCCAAGGGCUCAAAGUUCCCAAUCAUUGAUAUCAUACAGGCCAUGUUUACAGAGCAUAAUAAAUUUCAGAGAAAUAAUAUUGCACCAAAGUGCAAUAACACCAGAAAUUAAAAGCAAACAAUAUGUAUGUGUGUGUGUGUAUGUGUGUGUGCAUAUAUAUAUGAAUGACAAUAGCUUUUUGAAACUGUGAGAUGAACCUGGAGUUUAAAGGAAAAAUUUAUAGUUGUGAAUGCAUUCAUAAAGAAAUUAAUGAGUAUGCAAAGUAUGAAAUAGAUUUUCAAGCUAAGGAAUUGAAAAAGAGCAAUAAAACAAUCACUAAGAAUGUGAACAGUAGGAAUUAAUGAAAACAGAAACAGAUAUUAACAAAAUGAAUAAACGUAAAAGGGUACCUUUUUUCAUCAAUACAGAAAAGCUGUUUUUGAGACUAAUAAAACAGACAAAACUUAGUUACACAAGGUGAAGGGGAAAGAGAGAGAAGUAGGAAGGUCCCAUAGCUUUAAAUUGAAUAUGAUAUUGACUGUUUUGUUUUAUAUUAGAUUGGUCUUGCCUUUAAAACACCAUUUUAAAAGAGACCAUUUGUUAGUGCCUGAAAUCUGUAACUGGCUUAAAAGCUCUGUCAGCUGGAAAGGAACCUGUCAGUGUGAUAAUGGAAAAGAAGAAGAUACAUCAGAGAGAGCAGGAUUUGCAAGUUAGAAAGCAUCAUUUUCGACUGGCCCUUCUCUGUUCUCCCACCAGCUCUUCUGAGGAUUAAAGGAGGUAACUUAAGAAGAAGAGUUAAUGAGAAAAUGUCCAGUCUGAAGGAAAAAAGUUGUGAUCACAUGGUCAUAGAAGAGACAUUUUUAGAUCAUCAGAAGUUGACAGUUUUCACUGUAGUGUAUGUGCUUAGUAUAAGAUGGAAUUAAGUUUGUUGUAUGGGUGAUUGAUGAAUUUUUACUGAAUCAUGGAUAACUGCUGUUCUAUUAAUGACAUUUCAUCAAUCAACUGUUUGGAUAUGGUUUAUCACAAAAUGUUGCUGACUUCAUGUUUGUGGAUUAACUGAGGUGAAAGUGAUACCUGGUAGAAGUUUCAUUAAUACAAAUUUUCCUCUCUUAGGAGUAGGAUGGAUUAUAUUAUUUGUUGAAAUGCCUUUGCAUGUAAGUUCUUAACUGUCAGUUUUCUUGUCCUGUGAAUCAUAUCUUUUCUGUAUUUGCUGAAAUAGAGACUUAACAUUGUUAAAUGAUUUGUCCAUGUCAUGGAAAAUGUAUGCCUCUAAAUCUGCGUUCCUUCCUACAAAUUACAAGUUCAAAAUGACUUUUUUUAAGAAACCAAAAAAAGAUGGAUUUCUGGUAUUUUGUGGCAGGAUAAGCUCCCUGUAGCCUAUCUUACAUGUUGAUUACAACUAAAACUAUGAAAAGUACAAUAAGCAACUAACUGAGGAAUCUGAAAAGUAAAUAAAAGUAGAAUUAUGAGUGAUAGGCAAAAUCUGGAGAAGCACCCUGCAGUAGUGUGAGCUUCCAUUGUUGUAUUUCUUUCAAUCAAAACCAAAACAAACAAACAAAACAAACAAAAACCAGAAAAGAACACCACCAACA
rnacentral:lncRNA from 1 species